rnacentral:lncRNA from 1 species
GGCCGGCCCGAGCACGUCAAACAGACGACGAACGGACAGAGUUUUUCCUAUCCGCCCAAGGCUCAUCACAUGUACAUUUUCAAUAAAAAGUGCACUAGCGGAAACAUACAAAAACGGCUUACACGAGGGUAAGCAAUAUCCAUUAGUGAAAGAAGGGAAAACUAAACAUCUACACAAGUAAUAUGAUUCAUUUUAGAUCAUAUACAUUGCAUUCAUUUCUUACAUUUUGAAUUCUUUGCAUUUCACUACAUCAUUUCAUCAUUUCUUUCUUACAUCACAUUUACCUCAAAAUAAGCUUUACAUUCUUUUCUUUACAUCACUAGUCAUCAAAUACAAAAGAUGAACAUAGGGUAGCUACUAACAAAAUGUAAACCCAACUCAACUCUGGUGGCCUCUGUCUAAGGCGCGAUACCUUUACCUCGGUCACUCGUCGGCUCGCUCGGUCCCGGCUCUGUGGAAAUAGUGGGGUAAGAACUACAACAAAAUUUUUAGUGGGUUCGGCCCCAACAUCACCGACUUUCCCACUAGGACUAACUCAGGCAUAAUAGAAAGGAUAAGCAAGAUAUAGUAACCAAUCUAUAACAUGGUGCUAAUAUGCCUGAACAAAUAGCAAAAGUAUGCUUAACAUUAAAUAUAUACAGAUUACGCAAAAUUCUUUCGUUCUUUACCUUUACACUUUGUUCUUUGUUCUUUAUUCUUUGCUCUUUAUUCUUUAUUCUUUAAUCUCAAGGCUAACCCGGAGGUUUCGCCACAUUAACUUGCUUCACAUUAAGUCCAUCAUCGCAGGAACUCACCAGCUAGGACCGUCCUUC